rnacentral:rRNA from 1 species
UACGUAGGAUCCUAGCGUUGUCCGGAUUUACUGGGUGUAAAGGGUGCGCAGGCGGACUUGUAAGUCAGGGGUGAAACCUCGCCGCUUAACGGCGAAACUGCCUUUGAUACUAUAAGUCUUGAGUUUGGUAGAGAUCCGUGGAAUUCCGAGUGUAGCAGUGAAAUGUGUAGAUAUUCGGAAGAACACCAGCGGCGAAGGCAGCGGAUUGGGCCAUAACUGACGCUCAGGCACGAAAGCAUGGGGAUCAAACAGG